rnacentral:sRNA from 1 species
CGUCGUCGGCCUGUUGCGGGCAGAUGAAAUGGAUGUGGGCGUCGAUGCCGCCGGCGGUGACGAUGCGGCCUUCACCGGCGAUCACCUCGGUCCCCGGUCCGACGAUGAUGGUGACGCCGGGCUGGAUAUCGGGGUUGCCGGCCUUGCCGAUGGCAUGGAUGCGCCCGUCCUUCAGGCCGAUAUCGGCCUUGACGAUGCCCCAAUGGUCGAGGAUCAGGGCGUUGGUGAUGACGGUGUCCACCGCCCCUUGGGCGCGCGACGCCUGCGACUGGCCCAUGCCGUCGCGGAUG